UUAAGCGACUAAGCGUACACGGUGGAUGCCCUGGCAGUCAGAGGCGAUGAAGGACGUGCUAAUCUGCGAUAAGCGUCGGUAAGGUGAUAUGAACCGUUAUAACCGGCGAUUUCCGAAUGGGGAAACCCAGUGUGAUUCGUCACACUAUCAUUAACUGAAUCCAUAGGUUAAUGAGGCGAACCGGGGGAACUGAAACAUCUAAGUACCCCGAGGAAAAGAAAUCAACCGAGAUUCCCCCAGUAGCGGCGAGCGAACGGGGAGCAGCCCAGAGCCUGAAUCAGUGUGUGUGUUAGUGGAAGCGUCUGGAAAGGCGCGCGAUACAGGGUGACAGCCCCGUACACAAAAAUGCACAUACUGUGAGCUCGAUGAGUAGGGCGGGACACGUGGUAUCCUGUCUGAAUAUGGGGGGACCAUCCUCCAAGGCUAAAUACUCCUGACUGACCGAUAGUGAACCAGUACCGUGAGGGAAAGGCGAAAAGAACCCCGGCGAGGGGAGUGAAAAAGAACCUGAAACCGUGUACGUACAAGCAGUGGGAGCACAGAGCAAUCUGUGUGACUGCGUACCUUUUGUAUAAUGGGUCAGCGACUUAUAUUCUGUAGCAAGGUUAACCGAAUAGGGGAGCCGAAGGGAAACCGAGUCUUAACUGGGCGUUAAGUUGCAGGGUAUAGACCCGAAACCCGGUGAUCUAGCCAUGGGCAGGUUGAAGGUUGGGUAACACUAACUGGAGGACCGAACCGACUAAUGUUGAAAAAUUAGCGGAUGACUUGUGGCUGGGGGUGAAAGGCCAAUCAAACCGGGAGAUAGCUGGUUCUCCCCGAAAGCUAUUUAGGUAGCGCCUCGUGAAUUCAUCUCCGGGGGUAGAGCACUGUUUCGGCAAGGGGGUCAUCCCGACUUACCAACCCGAUGCAAACUGCGAAUACCGGAGAAUGUUAUCACGGGAGACACACGGCGGGUGCUAACGUCCGUCGUGAAGAGGGAAACAACCCAGACCGCCAGCUAAGGUCCCAAAGUCAUGGUUAAGUGGGAAACGAUGUGGGAAGGCCCAGACAGCCAGGAUGUUGGCUUAGAAGCAGCCAUCAUUUAAAGAAAGCGUAAUAGCUCACUGGUCGAGUCGGCCUGCGCGGAAGAUGUAACGGGGCUAAACCAUGCACCGAAGCUGCGGCAGCGACGCUUAUGCGUUGUUGGGUAGGGGAGCGUUCUGUAAGCCUGCGAAGGUGUGCUGUGAGGCAUGCUGGAGGUAUCAGAAGUGCGAAUGCUGACAUAAGUAACGAUAAAGCGGGUGAAAAGCCCGCUCGCCGGAAGACCAAGGGUUCCUGUCCAACGUUAAUCGGGGCAGGGUGAGUCGACCCCUAAGGCGAGGCCGAAAGGCGUAGUCGAUGGGAAACAGGUUAAUAUUCCUGUACUUGGUGUUACUGCGAAGGGGGGACGGAGAAGGCUAUGUUGGCCGGGCGACGGUUGUCCCGGUUUAAGCGUGUAGGCUGGUUUUCCAGGCAAAUCCGGAAAAUCAAGGCUGAGGCGUGAUGACGAGGCACUACGGUGCUGAAGCAACAAAUGCCCUGCUUCCAGGAAAAGCCUCUAAGCAUCAGGUAACAUCAAAUCGUACCCCAAACCGACACAGGUGGUCAGGUAGAGAAUACCAAGGCGCUUGAGAGAACUCGGGUGAAGGAACUAGGCAAAAUGGUGCCGUAACUUCGGGAGAAGGCACGCUGAUAUGUAGGUGAAGUCCCUCGCGGAUGGAGCUGAAAUCAGUCGAAGAUACCAGCUGGCUGCAACUGUUUAUUAAAAACACAGCACUGUGCAAACACGAAAGUGGACGUAUACGGUGUGACGCCUGCCCGGUGCCGGAAGGUUAAUUGAUGGGGUUAGCGCAAGCGAAGCUCUUGAUCGAAGCCCCGGUAAACGGCGGCCGUAACUAUAACGGUCCUAAGGUAGCGAAAUUCCUUGUCGGGUAAGUUCCGACCUGCACGAAUGGCGUAAUGAUGGCCAGGCUGUCUCCACCCGAGACUCAGUGAAAUUGAACUCGCUGUGAAGAUGCAGUGUACCCGCGGCAAGACGGAAAGACCCCGUGAACCUUUACUAUAGCUUGACACUGAACAUUGAGCCUUGAUGUGUAG
rnacentral:rRNA from 1 species